CUAAAGCCUUCGCUUUGUGUUCGCUCUACCGAUUUGUCCGCAACCGAUCAUUUCUUUCUCUCACAAGCGGCAGUCGCUGUGAACCGUGAUUCCAACAUCUCCGUUGCAUUCGGGAGUGCGUCUUUAGCCGGCUUCUUUCUUCAGAGGAAAAAGCUUAUCCCUGCAGCCCAGAAAGGAGCGAUGGGGACAUCAAGUCGAUUUCUCUCCGACGGCGUAUAUCCCAGAGCUACUCAGCUAGCUAGGGUCAGAUUAUUGUAUGAAGGAGAUAUUCGUUUCUUUCCUCUGUCGACAGAGAAACUAAAAGUGAAGUACCGAAAAAUAAUGAAAGAAACGAAAUCUUUCGCCAUUUGAAAGGUAACACCUCGAAACAGUUCUAGGACUUGUGCUUUCAGCGAGAAAAGAAGUUGAGCACAAAAGUGCUCCUUUCCGGGCUACAGAGAGAAACCGAACUGUUUCGAGGUGUUACCUUUCAAAUGGGGAAAGAUUUCGUUUCUUUCAUUUUUUUCGGUACUACACUUUUAGUUUCUCUGUCGACAGAGGAAAGAAACGAAUAUCUCCUUCUUACAUAUCUGACUAGCUAGCUGAGUAGCUCUGGGAUAUACGCCGUCGGAUUGAAAUCGACUUGAUGUCCCCAUCGCUCCCCAGCGGAGGAAAACCAAGAAAAUCGGGGUUAGAGCAAAGGAAAACCAAGAAAAGCGGGGUUACAGGGAAUGAAAACCAAGAAAACGGGGAUAGAGUAAAGGAAAACCAAGAAAAGCGGGGUUAGAGCGGAGGAAAACCAAGAAAAGCAAAGUUAGAGCGGAGGAAAACCAAGAAAAGCGGGGUUAGAGUGGAGGAAAACCAAGAAAAACGGGGUUUGUGCGCAGGAAAACCAAGAAAAGCGAAGUUAGUGCAAAGGAAAACCAAGAAAAGCGGGGGUACAGCAGAGGAAAUCCAAGAAAAG
rnacentral:lncRNA from 1 species